CGUAGUCGAUGGGAAACAGGUUAAUAUUCCUGUACUUGGUGUUACUGCGAAGGGGGGACGGAGAAGGCUAUGUUGGCCGGGCGACGGUUGUCCCGGUUUAAGCGUGUAGGCUGGUUUUCCAGGCAAAUCCGGAAAACCAAGGCUGAGGCGUGAUGACGAGGCACUACGGUGCUGAAGCGACAAAUGCCCUGCUUCCAGGAAAAGCCUCUAAGCAUCAGGUAACAUCAAAUCGUACCCCAAACCGACACAGGUGGUCAGGUAGAGAAUACCAAGGCGCUUGAGAGAACUCGGGUGAAGGAACUAGGCAAAAUGGUGCCGUAACUUCGGGAGAAGGCACGCUGAUAUGUAGGUGAAGCGACUUGCUCGUGGAGCUGAAAUCAGUCGAAGAUACCAGCUGGCUGCAACUGUUUAUUAAAAACACAGCACUGUGCAAACACGAAAGUGGACGUAUACGGUGUGACGCCUGCCCGGUGCCGGAAGGUUAAUUGAUGGGGUUAGCGGCAACGCGAAGCUCUUGAUCGAAGCCCCGGUAAACGGCGGCCGUAACUAUAACGGUCCUAAGGUAGCGAAAUUCCUUGUCGGGUAAGUUCCGACCUGCACGAAUGGCGUAAUGAUGGCCAGGCUGUCUCCACCCGAGACUCAGUGAAAUUGAACUCGCUGUGAAGAUGCAGUGUACCCGCGGCAAGACGGAAAGACCCCGUGAACCUUUACUAUAGCUUGACACUGAACAUUGAGCCUUGAUGUGUAGGAUAGGUGGGAGGCUUUGAAGUGUGGACGCCAGUCUGCAUGGAGCCGACCUUGAAAUACCACCCUUUAAUGUUUGAUGUUCUAACGUUGGCCCCUAAUCGGGGUUGCGGACAGUGUCUGGUGGGUAGUUUGACUGGGGCGGUCUCCUCCUAAAGAGUAACGGAGGAGCACGAAGGUUGGCUAAUCCUGGUCGGACAUCAGGAGGUUAGUGCAAUGGCAUAAGCCAGCUUGACUGCGAGCGUGACGGCGCGAGCAGGUGCGAAAGCAGGUCAUAGUGAUCCGGUGGUUCUGAAUGGAAGGGCCAUCGCUCAACGGAUAAAAGGUACUCCGGGGAUAACAGGCUGAUACCGCCCAAGAGUUCAUAUCGACGGCGGUGUUUGGCACCUCGAUGUCGGCUCAUCACAUCCUGGGGCUGAAGUAGGUCCCAAGGGUAUGGCUGUUCGCCAUUUAAAGUGGUACGCGAGCUGGGUUUAGAACGUCGUGAGACAGUUCGGUCCCUAUCUGCCGUGGGCGCUGGAGAACUGAGGGGGGCUGCUCCUAGUACGAGAGGACCGGAGUGGACGCAUCACUGGUGUUCGGGUUGUCAUGCCAAUGGCACUGCCCGGUAGCUAAAUGCGGAAGAGAUAAGUGCUGAAAGCAUCUAAGCACGAAA
rnacentral:rRNA from 1 species